rnacentral:rRNA from 1 species
AGUGAACGCUGGCGGUAGGCCUAACACAUGCAAGUCGAACGGCAGCACAGUAAGAGCUUGCUCUUACGGGUGGCGAGUGGCGGACGGGUGAGGAAUACAUCGGAAUCUACUUUUUCGUGGGGGAUAACGUAGGGGAACUUACGCUAAUACCGCAUACGACCUACGGGUGAAAGCAGGGGAUCUUCGGACCUUGCGCGAUUGAAUGAGCCGAUGUCGGAUUAGCUAGUUGGCGGGGUAAAGGCCCACCAAGGCGACGAUCCGUAGCUGGUCUGAGAGGAUGAUCAGCCACACUGGAACUGGGACACGGUCCAGACUCCUACGGGAGGCAGCAGUGGGGAAUAUUGGACAAUGGGCGCAAGCCUGAUCCAGCCAUACCGCGUGGGUGAAGAAGGCCUUCGGGUUGUAAAGCCCUUUUGUUGGGAAAGAAAAGCAGCAGGUUAAUACCCCGCUGUUCUGACGGUACCCAAAGAAUAAGCACCGGCUAACUUCGUG